rnacentral:rRNA from 1 species
GCAUAUCAAUAAGCGGAGGAAAAAGAAACCAACAGGGAUUGCCUCAGUAACGGCGAGUGAAGCGGCAACAGCUCAAAUUUGAAAUCUGGCCCUAGGCCCGAGUUGUAAUUUGCAGAGGAUGCUUUUGGUGCGGUGCCUUCCAAGUUCCCUAGAACGGGACGCCAGAGAGGGUGAGAGCCCCGUACAGUUGGACACCAAGCCUUUGUAAAGCUCCUUCGACGAGUCGAGUAGUUUGGGAAUGCUGCUCAAAAUGGGAGGUAUAUUUCUUCUAAAGCUAAAUACCGGCCAGAGACCGAUAGCGCACAAGUAGAGUGAUCGAAAGAUGAAAAGCACUUUGAAAAGAGGGUUAAACAGCACGUGAAAUUGUUAAAAGGGAAGCGCUUGUGACCAGACUUGCGUCCGGUGAAUCACCCAGCUCUCGCGGCUGGGGCACUUCGCCGGCUCAGGCCAGCAUCAGCUCGCUGUCGGGGACAAAAGCUUCGGGAACGUAGCUCUCUUCGGGGAGUGUUAUAGCCUGUUGCACAAUACCCUUCGGCGGGCUGAGGUACGCGCUCCGCAAGGAUGCUGGCAUAAUGGUCAUCAGCGACCCGUCUUGAAACACGGACCAAGGAGUCAACCUUAUGUGCGAGUGUUCGGGUGUCAAACCCCUACGCGUAAUGAAAGUGAACGCAGGUGAGAGCUUCGGCGCAUCAUCGACCGAUCCUGAUGUUCUCGGAUGGAUUUGAGUAAGAGCAUAUAGGGUUGGACCCGAAAGAAGGUGAACUAUGCGUGUAUAGGGUGAAGCCAGAGGAAACUCUGGUGGAGGCUCGCAGCGGUUCUGACGUGCAAAUCGAUCGUCAAAUAUGCGCAUGGGGGCGAAAGACUAAUCGAACCUUCUAGUAGCUGGUUUCCGCCG